UACGGGGGGGGCAAGCGUUGUUCGGAAUUACUGGGCGGAAAGGGCUCGUAGGUGGCCAACUAAGUCAGACGUGAAAUCCCUCGGCUUAACCGGGGAACUGCGUCUGAUACUGGAUGGCUGGAGAUUGGGAGAGGGAUGCGGAAUUCCAGGUGUAGCGGUGAAAUGCGUAGAUAUCUGGAGGAACACCGGUGGCGAAGGCGGCAUCCUGGACCAACACUGACGCUGAGGAGCGAAAGCCAGGGGAGCAAACGGG
rnacentral:rRNA from 1 species